CUACCAUUUAGUUGGGCACUAUUGGGUGCUUUAACGCUCUCAGAUUACAUCCUCACAUCCACCUUAGGAUGCCCGAUAUCAUCCUCACUUCACAGGCAAGCAAACCAAGGCCAGACAGGCUAAGUGACUUGCUCAAGGCACAUGGGAAGUGGCAUGUUUGGGGGUUCCCAGGGCCAGGCCAGGAUCGGAGAUACGAACAUGCAAUAAAAAGUUUCAAAGUAGAAAACAAAAACAAAACCAAAAAACCCUCCAGCUCCUCAGCUUGCAGCUCCUAGAGUAGCUUCCUGGACACUUUCCUGCUUGGUCCUGGCGGUCACAUCAAUGUCCAUGCACGCUUCCCCAAGAACCCCACAGAACCAAUUGUUGAAAGUCAGAAAUUUAGUGAAGACACAAUCAUCCAAAACACUUGUUUAGCAACAUGUAGAACAAAGAACUAUAACAGUUGACUAUUCACUUUUUAGUGUUUGUGUUGCCUACAUGAUUUUUUGCAUUGGAGUGACACAGUUUUGGCCUAGGCAUGGGCCUCCUUCUCUCCCCUGGCCCCUUCCUUCUGACUUCCUGCGGCCGCUGUAC
rnacentral:lncRNA from 1 species